GACGAACCGUGCGAACGUUGUUCGGAAUCACUGGGCUUAAAGGGCGCGUAGGCGGGCCGGAAAGUCAGGGGUGAAAGCCCGCGGCUCAACCGCGGAAGUGCCCCUGAUACUGCCGGCCUCGAGGGGGGUAGGGGUGCGCGGAACUUCCGGUGGAGCGGUGAAAUGCGUAGAUAUCGGAAGGAACGCCGGUGGCGAAAGCGGCGCACUGGGCCCCAUCUGACGCUGAGGCGCGAAAGCCAGGGGAGCGAACGGG
rnacentral:rRNA from 1 species